GUCAAGGUGGUGGAGUGGUUAACACGUUCGCCUGCUAUUUCCCUAAAAAGAAAAAGCCAGCGGAUGCCCUUUGGGCGCGCAGGUUCGAAUCCUGUCCUUGACG